ACCAGGAAGAAGGUUGACCCAUAAACUUUUAAUUUAGGAGACACCUGGGGCUGGGGUGUAAUUUCCCAGUCCUCAGCUGAAAUAAAAAAACACAAUAAUUACAAACACGGAGCAAAACAAUUAUAGUAUUGGGCAGGCUGGCGCACACGACACACGCACGUUUUGUCACUAACAAGGACCUCAGCUACAGAAGAUGCCGCAAACGCUCCCUGAGGUCGGAGAACUGUAUAAAAGGUCGCACAGAUGAGGAGGAUUUAAUCACUUCUUGACUUCUCUCUUCGGUGAGCCAGGUUCGCCUCCAGCACAGCAAGAUGUCUGACAGCCUUGGCAUGUUGGAAGACCUCUGCUUCCAGGGUCCAAAUUGCUGUUUUCCACCCUGCCCGAAAAGGCUAUGUUAUUGUUGUUGCUAUGAUCCAUGCACUGGAAAGCUACUUUGGAAGGGAUUGUGCUGUUGCCCCUGUUGGGGUGGUUUGGGCGGACAUGGAAAGUUCCGUCCAUGCUAAAUCCAGCUCGGAUAUCCACGGCACUGGGAGCAACACGGACAUGAAGAGCAAGAUACAGAUUCACGGCUGACCCGGAGGACAUGGCUUGGAGCAGUGCUAAGCACUCAGCACCUCCAGUGUGAGGGCUCGGCAUUGCUACAAGACUCCCUCCCCCAUUCUCCUGUCUCCUACACUUUGCUUCUUACUCUAGGAACUUUGUAUUCUCUGCACUGUUAAGCAUUUACGUCUCUUCAUGCUGUGCUGUCAUUUAAAUGGAUGCCUCUGCCUCCUUACAGUCCACUUGUAAUGCAUUGCAGACCACUUGACACAGCCACAGGUGUGUAGAAGAUGUUUGGUGACAACAGGCGUAUAAUCCCGGCUGUGGCCCUUUGGAAAACCUUGGGAAUAUUUGCUCUCUCCUCUGAAUCCCUUCUGUUUCUGUAUUCUCAAUUUCUUCUGUGCAUUAAACUUCCUCUGCAGUAUAA